rnacentral:rRNA from 1 species
AACGACUCUCGGCAAUGGAUAUCUCGGCUCUCGUAUCGAUGAAGAAUGUAGCGAAAUGCGAAACUUAGUGUGAAUUGCAGAAUCCUGCGGACCAUCGAGUCUUUGAACGUAAGUUGCUCCCAAAGCCUUCUGGUCGAGGGCACGUUUGCCUGGGUGUCACUC